GACGGGGGGGCAAGUGUUCUUCGGAAUGACUGGGCGUAAAGGGCACGUAGGCGGUGAAUCGGGUUGAAAGUGAAAGUCGCCAAAAAGUGGCGGAAUGCUCUCGAAACCAAUUCACUUUGAGUGAGACAGAGGAGAGUGGAAUUUCGUGUGUAGGGGUGAAAUCGUAGAUCUACGAAGGAACGCCAAAAGCGAAGGCAGCUCUCUGGGUCCCUACCGACGCUGGGGUGCGAAAGCAUGGGGGAGCGAACAGG
rnacentral:rRNA from 1 species